UGUAAACCAAUAAGAAUGGAUCUCUGCAACAGAAAAAGAAAAGAAAGAGGGGUCUGAUUCAUACAGACACUCCUGUGGUUGAAUUUAACUUUCAGAGUGAAACCCAACAUGAAGUAAAAUGAAAACAAAAGAGAAGAAUUUAACAGAUCAUGACAGACUUGCCUGCUUUCUUUCUGUGGUACAGUAAAUGCUCUUCUAGAUAAACAAACUUGUUACACCGAAGAAAUGGGAAAAUUUUAAGAAGCUGAAAAGAACAGAUUUUUUGUUCCAGUUUCUUGUUUACAUUUUCAAGCUUUGGAAAAAAGCAUUCUGUUUGUUUUCUUGGGAAUUCUCUUUAAGAUCUUUCAGCCUUUAAAAAAAUUCAAAUGGAUGGAAAAGCCAAGAGAAAAAGACGUUACAAGAAAACCAUGUAAUUGGUUUCAGACUGCAAAAAAACCCUUUGAGUUUUCCUGUCACUUCUUCCAGCCUCCUUUGGACAAAAAACCAGACUAUGGUAUGUGCUCUGCAUUUUGAUCAGCUGCAUAGCUUUGCUGGGAUAUAUUCUAGCCAGUGAAGAGUGUCAGAUUUUCAAACUCCACAGGAGCAGCUGGUUUCUGCAAAAACCAGACAUGUUAUAGCAUGGGCAAAUGAAUUUUUAUUGAAAUGGAAUUUCACGAGCCUCGGUAUAUUUGGUGUGUGGUACAGAACAACAGAUUUGAUGGAAUAUAUUUCCAGUGGCUCCAGGUAUUAUAGCAGAAGCCCAGAGAAAUUAAUACCAACAGAAACUAAAAGAGAUCAUUUGAAGAUCUGUCUAGGAUUUUCAUCAGGAAAAGUUUUGUACUAAGAAUGAAGUACACAUACACAAAAAGAAGAUAUUCGUUCAGAAAAAUGAAUCUGUGACAUGAAAGAAGUGGUGCUGCUCUCUCAUUAAAUGGAUGAUUCACUGCAUUUUGGUACAAGAAGCAUUUAUUGAAGGGGAUGGUGUUAACUCCAAAGCAUCAGUCCUGGGAGAUAUAAAAAUCAUGCAAGCUUUGGGCAUGCACCCUCACUGAGAGAAGAACGCUGCUUUAGAUUAAGCUCUAAAAAUGUGUCUCAAAUGAUGGUAAGACAAGAUGUUGCAGCACUAGUCCGGGCAUUAAACUCUUCUGAGGUCAAAGGGAAUUAUUUGUCCAAAGUUGGUAUCAAGCCUGUGGUAUCAAGCUUUUCUUGUGGAGCUGUCUUCUAGGUCACAAUGUCAACAUGGAUACCAUAUGAUACCGAUUAAAAAUAAUUGCUUGGUAAUUGGCACAGAAUGAAUGUAGUGAUCUACAUCUCACCGGAUAAUAAAUAUUGUUUUAAUUGCUGCUCUAAUUAUGAUACACAUUCUCACAUUGUUGUGAUGUUUAAUUAUCAUUGAUGUGUAUAUUAAAGGGAUAAUCAAAAUAAACAGAAUUAUAAUA